rnacentral:rRNA from 1 species
GACGAACGCUGGCGGCGUGCUUAACACAUGCAAGUCGAACGGAAAGGCCCUGCUUGCAGGGUACUCGAGUGGCGAACGGGUGAGUAACACGUGGGUGAUCUGCCCUGCACUUCGGGAUAAGCCUGGGAAACUGGGUCUAAUACCGGAUAGGAGCCAUUUUUAGUGUGAUGGUUGGAAAGUUUUUUCGGUGUAGGAUGAGCUCGCGGCCUAUCAGCUUGUUGGUGGGGUAAUGGCCUACCAAGGCGGCGACGGGUAGCCGGCCUGUGAGGGUGGACGGCCACACUGGGACUGAGAGACGGCCCAGAUUCCGAAUGGAGGCAGAAGUGGGGAAUAUUGAACAAGGGGCGCAAGCCGGAUGCAGCGACGCCGCGUGGGGGAUGACGGCCUUCGGGUUGUAAACUCCUUGCGCUAGGGACGAAGCUUUUUGUGACGGUACCUAGAUAAGAAGCACCGGCUAACUACGUG